rnacentral:rRNA from 1 species
CUACGGGCGGCUGCAGUGGGGAAUAUUGGACAAUGGGGGAAACCCUGAUCCAGCAAUGCCGCGUGUGUGAAGAAGGCCUGCGGGUUGUAAAGCACUUUCGGUUGGGAGGACUGCUUCUAGCACUAAUAUUGUUGGAAGUUGACGUUACCUUCAGAAGAAGCACCGGCUAACUCCGUGCCAGCAGCCGCGGUAGAUACGGAGGGUGCAAGCGUUAAUCGGAAUUACUGGGCGUAAAGCGCGCGUAGGCGGCUAGAUCAGUCGGGUGUGAAAGCCCCGGGCUUAACCUGGGAACUGCAUCCGAUACUGUCUAGCUCGAGUACAGGAGAGGAGAGUGGAAUUCCACAUGUAGCGGUGAAAUGCGUAGAUAUGUGGAGGAACACCAAUGGCGAAGGCAGCUCUCUGGCCUGAUACUGACGCUGAGGUGCGAAAGCGUGGGGAGCAAACAGGAUUAGAUACCCUAGUAGUC